GGAGAGAUGUCCGAGUGGCUUAAGGAGCACGCCUGGAACGCGUGUUUAGGGGUAACCCUAACGUGGGUUCAAAUCCCACUUUCUCCG
rnacentral:tRNA from 1 species